rnacentral:rRNA from 1 species
AGUGAACGCUGGCGGUAGGCCUAACACAUGCAAGUCGAACGGCAGCACAGUAAGAGCUUGCUCUUACGGGUGGCGAGUGGCGGACGGGUGAGGAAUACAUCGGAAUCUACUUUUUCUUGGGGGAUAACGUAGGGAAACUUACGCUAAUACCGCAUACGACCUACGGGUGAAAGCAGGGGAUCUUCGGACCUUGCGCGAUUGAAUGAUCCGAUGUCGGAUUAGCUAGUUGGCGGGGUAAAGGCCCACCAAGGCGACGAUCCGUAGCUGGUCUGAGAGGAUGAUCAGCCACACUGGAACUGAGACACGGUCCAGACUCCUACGGGAGGCAGCAGUGGGGAAUAUUGGACAAUGGGCGCAAGCCUGAUCCAGCCAUACCGCGUGGGUGAAGAAGGCCUUCGGGUUGUAAAGCCCUUUUGUUGGGAAAGAAAAGCAGCAGGUUAAUACCCCGCUGUUCUGACGGUACCCAAAGAAUAAGCACCGGCUAACUUCGUG